CGUCAUUUCAAGAGUGAUUUUUCAAAAUUGCGUCAGCAUUAUUGCUCGAUUUGAUUCAACUUUUAUUAAAAAUUAUGCACGAAAUUACACAAUAAUUAUUUUAGACUAAUAUCAUAAUUUUGUCCAGAAAAGCUCAGUACAAAUACCUCUAGCGAUAUAUUUACGAUUUGAUUCGUUGAUGAGAGGUUUCACCAUAAUUAGUACAGCACAAUUUAUACAAUACAAUGUAGCAUAAUAUAUUCAGCGUAUUAAAGGUUCAAUUAUUCUCAUUAUCGAAAAUCUUCGAGGUCUUGAGAUUUCAGGUCAAUUAACAUGUAUGAAAGAAGGAAGAGCGAUGUUCCGAUCCGAAUUAUCUACAAUACAUUGAGGUCUGAGUCGAUUCGACUCUAUUUUUCCUGAUGGCAAGGUGAUAUCUUUACCAUGUCAUAAUGUUGAAAUUACGGAAAAUUGAAAGCAGUGAUUCUGAGGUUGAGAGAGGCCCGAGUUACUUCUCUUUUGAAGGCCCUAGCAUGUUAAAAGAAGC